rnacentral:rRNA from 1 species
AACGAACGCUGGCGGCAGGCCUAACACAUGCAAGUCGAGCGAGAUCUUCGGGUCUAGCGGCGGACGGGUGAGUAACGCGUGGGAAUAUGCCCUUCUCUGCGGAAUAGCCUCGGGAAACUGAGCGUAAUACCGCAUACGCCCUUUGGGGGAAAGAUUUAUCGGAGAAGGAUUAGCCCGCGUUGGAUUAGGUAGUUGGUGGGGUAACGGCCUACCAAGCCGACGAUCCAUAGCUGGUUUGAGAGGAUGAUCAGCCACACUGGGACUGAGACACGGCCCAGACUCCUACGGGAGGCAGCAGUGGGGAAUCUUAGACAAUGGGGGCAACCCUGAUCUAGCCAUGCCGCGUGAGUGAUGAAGGCCUUAGGGUUGUAAAGCUCUUUCAGCUGGGAAGAUAAUGACGGUACCAGCAGAAGAAGCCCCGGCUAACUCCG